GGCUGCCCGGCACGUGCGGCAGGGUAUCGGUGUGUCACGCGCGGGCGGAACCGGGCCACCCUCUGCGCAGACAGGUGCCGAGAAGCGGCGGUGCAGCGGGCUCCGCCCCCAGCGCUGCGGCGGACGCUGCACGGCACCAGGCCCCGCGGGCCAAGAGCCGGAGUCCCGCUGACGCCGGAAGUGCACCUGCUGCCCGCAGCUAACAUGGCGGAUGCGGCUUCCCGCAGAGCCGCGCGCGGCGGGACGGCAGUUGAGCCCUCACUGGGCGGCUGCCCUUUGCUUCCCUUCGCGUUCGAGACAGCACAUGGGCUGUGACGCGUGAGCACCCGUACUCCGCGCAUGCGCCCUGGGAGGGGGAGGAAGCCGGUGGCUGCGGAGGAUGUCGGCGCAGGGGGAUUGCGAGUUCCUGGUGAAGCGGGCCCGGGACCUGGUGCAGGGGGACCUGUGGGCGGCCAAGGCCUGGCUCAUCACGGCGCGGAGCCUCUACCCGGCCGACUUCAACAUCCAGCACAACCAAAUUCCAACCUGGUGAAACAAAUUAAAGUAAAAACACAAGUGGACUAUAGGAACAAUAAGUGGUUAAGAUGCGAGAGUCAUAGCCUCUGCUGUGUGCUGGCAGUGCUUCUUUCUGUUCCCACAAUGUCAAAGAAGGCACAGCUGUAUAAAAUGAUACAUUACAGAAUUCCAAAUUAUGAAAUGUACACUAUUGAGAGGAAUGCUGAGCGGACAGCAUCAGCUGGCAGACUGUUAUAUGACAUGUUUGUGAAUUUUCCAGACCAGCCAGUGGUGUGGAGGGAGAUUAAUGUUAUUACAUCAGCAUUAAGGAAUGACUCACAGGAUAAGCAGACUCAGUUCUUAAGAGGUUUAUUUGAGACCCUUCCUGGUCGAAUUCAGUGUGAAAUGUUACUAAAGGCCACAGAGCAGUGUUUUAAUACACUAGAAAGGGCAGAAAUGCUACUGCUGCUUCUACGACGCUUCCCAGAGACUGUGGUGCAGCAUGGGGUGGGCCUAGGAGAAACGUUAUUAGAGGCUGAAAAUAUUGAGGACCAAGAAUCCCCAGUCAAUUGCUUUAGGAAAUUAUUUGUUUGUGAUGUUCUUCCUCUAAUCAUUAACAACCCUGAUGUUCGACUACCUGCCAGCUUGCUGUACAAGUACUUGAACAAGGCAGCAGAAUUUUAUAUUAAUUAUGUAACUAGAUCUACACAAAUGGAAAACCAGUAUCAAGGUUCACAAGAUACCUCUGAUCUCAUGUCCCCCAGCAAACGUAGCUCUCAGAAGUAUGUAAUAGAGGGUCUGACUGAGAAAUCAUCCCAGAUUACAGACCCUUGGGAGAGGCUGUUUAAGAUACUGUCUGUCGUGGGAAUGAGAUGUGAAUGGCAGAUGGAUAAAGGAAGAAGAAGUUUUGGUGAUAUUUUACACAGAAUGAAAGACCUCUGCAGAUACAUCAGUAAUUUUGAUAACGAAGCCCAUGCGCAGUAUAAGAAUCAAGUAGUGUAUUCAACAAUGUUGGUCUUCUUUAAGAAUGCAUUCCAAUAUGUCAGCAACAUCCAGCCAUCUCUCUUCCAAGGGCCAAAUGCUCCAAACCAAGUUCCACUGGUUCUCCUUGAGGAUGUGUCCAGUGUCUAUGGUGAUACAGAUAUUGAUCGCAACAAGCACAUACAUAAAAAGAGGAAACUUGCAGAAGGAAGAGAGAAGACAAUGAUCCUUAAGCAGAGUUCGGAUGAUGAAGACCCUUCUGGAAAGGGGAGAAAUCGUCACAUCACAAUAAAUAAGACAGACCUUGCAAACUCUGUUGAAGUACUAGAGAGCUUUAAACUGGCAAGAGAGAGCUGGGAGCUUCUCUAUUCUCUGGAAUCACUCGAUAAAGAAUUCACAAGAAUUUGCUUGUCAUGGAAGACAGAUACCUGGCUUUGGUUACGAAUCUUCCUCACAGAUAUGAUCAUUUACCAGGGUCAGUAUAAAAAAGCAGUUACCAGCCUACAUCACUUAGCAGCUCUUCAGGGAUCUCAUUCUCAGCAGCAGAUCACAGGACAAGGAUCACUCCUAGAGAAUCAGAGAGCACUUAUCCAGUUAGCUACUUGCCACUUUGCCCUUGGAGAAUACAGAUUGACAUGUGAAAAAGUACUUGACCUCAUGUGCUACAUGGUACUUCCCAUACAAGAAGGGGGUAAAACGCAGGAGGAGCAGCCUAAAGUGAAGUCUAAAUUCAGGAAAGGUUCUGAUCUAAAACUUUGGCCAUGUACCAGUAAAGCUAUUAUGCCAUAUUGCCUCCAUUUAUUGUUGGCUUGUUUUAAGCUGAGAGCUUUCACAGAUAACAGGGAUGAUAUGGCUUUGGGUCACGUGGUCGUUUUGCUUCAGCAUGAAUGGCCAAGGGGGGAGAACUUGUUCCUGAAAUCCAUCAACAAAAUCUGUCAGCAGGGAAACUUCCAGUAUGAGAAUUUUUUCAACUAUGUUACAAAUAUUGAUAUGCUGGAGGAAUUUGCCUAUUUAAGAACACAAGAAGGAGGGAAGAUUCAUCUGGAGUUGCUGCCAAAUCAAGGAAUGUUAAUUAAAGUGGAAAUCUGGAUCAACAGCUCGUCGCUCUUCUUGCUACAGCAUCCUCUCUCUUCCCAUUCAGCUUUCCAAAAUGGUCUCCUGCUGCUCUUCACUAAAAUCACUGUUAUGGGUGCUGAGGAAAACAUCCCGGAAAGCACUGCUGUACAUUGGAUUGUAUUUCCACCCACUUGUGGCAUGACAAGCCCUGGAAUGGUCUAUUGUGGGUGUGUUAGAGUGAUGGGUAGAGGCGGCUAAGGCCUUGUUGCCUCCUAUUACUUUAGCUGGACAGUUGGUCGCACUGUGAUCUCCCUCCAGUUCUCUUCUGUAUCUUUCUGGAGAGUUGUUGUGCAGCAUGGGGGAGCCAGUAUGGUUGUUUGAAUGCUGCUGUUUGCUGUUUUUUAAAGGACUUCUAGCCCUCCCAUGGGGUUACUGCAGCAGGAGUUCAUACCUGUACUACAGCCCAGCAUACAGACUGCUGACAGGUACCAAGCGGAAAAACCCUGCUCACGGCAUCACACAGUAACCCGGGGAAUAACUAAAGGGGUGAAAGAGGAUUUCCGCUUGGCUAUGGAGCGCCAAGUCUCACGCUGCGGGGAGAAUCUGAUGGUGGUGUUACACAGAUUCUGCAUUAAUGAGAAGAUACUGUUACUUCAGACACUGACUUGAGUGGAGUGGACAGUGCAGCAGGGUGUCUUGCU